UACGGGGGGGGUAAGCGUAGUUCGGAAUUACUGGGCGUAAAGGGCUCGUAGGCGGCCAACUAAGUCAUACGUGAAAUCCCUCAGCUUAACUGGGGAACUGCGUGUGAUACUGGAUGGCUUGGAUUUGGGAGAGGGAUGCGGAAUUCCAGGUGUAGCGGUGAAAUGCGUAGAUAUCUGGAGGAACACCGGUGGCGAAGGCGGCAUCCUGGACCAAUAUUGACGCUGAGGAGCGAAAGCCAGGGGAGCAAACGGG
rnacentral:rRNA from 1 species